GACGAACGCUGGCGGCGUGCCUAAUACGUGCGAGUUGAGCGAUGAAGAUUGGUGCUUGCACCAAUUUGAAGAGCAGCGAACGGGUGAGUAACGCGUGGGGAAUCUGCCUUUGAGCGGGGGACAACAUUUGGAAACGAAUGCUAAUACCGCAUAACAACUUUAAACAUAAGUUUUAAGUUUGAAAGAUGCAAUUGCAUCACUCAAAGAUGAUCCCGCGUUGUAUUAGCUAGUUGGUGAGGUAAAGGCUCACCAAGGCGAUGAUACAUAGCCGACCUGAGAGGGUGAUAGGCCACAUUGGGACUGAGACACGGCCCAAACUCCUACGGGAGGCAGCAGUAGGGAAUCUUCGGCAAUGGACGAAAGUCUGACCGAGCAACGCCGCGGGAGUGAAGAAGGGUUUCGGAUCGUAAAACUCUGUUGGUAGAGAAGAACGUUGGUGAGAGUGGAAAGCUCAUCAAGUGACGGUAACUACCCAGAAAGGGACGGCUAACUACGUG
rnacentral:rRNA from 1 species